rnacentral:rRNA from 1 species
UACGGAGGGUGCGAGCGUUGUCCGGAAUCAUUGGGCGUAAAGGGCGCGUAGGUGGCCCGGUGAGUCUUUGGUGAAAGCGCGGGGCUCAACCCUGCGUCGGCCAGGGAUACUGCCGCGGCUCGAGCACUGUAGAGGCAGGCGGAAUUCCGGGUGUAGCGGUGGAAUGCGUAGAGAUCCGGAAGAACACCGGUGGCGAAGGCGGCCUGCUGGGCAGUUUUGCUGACACUGAGGCGCGACAGCGUGGGGAGCAAACAGG